AGCUUGCUGACGGGAAGUGUGGUGUACAGAGUGAUCGUUGUGCGUUGGACUGGCGUCUAAGUCUUCUUGACUGGGGUUUGAUGGCCCAGAGUGGGUGUCAGGCCUUUAUGGCGUUGGUUUGGCGUGCAUUGAUUGCUCGAAGAGUCGGGUUGUUUCUGAGUACAACCCAAAGCAGGUGGUAAACUCCAUCUAAGGCUAAAUAUAAGUACGAGUCCGAUAGCGAACAAGUACCGUGAGGGAAAGUUGCAAAGAACUUUGAAGAGAGAGUUCAAGAGUACGUGAAACCGCCCGGAGUGAAGCGGGUGAAGCCACAUGGUUGUCAGUUGGAAUCAAUCGUAUUGGCUGGGACACGUAGUCGGUUGCUGCAUGUGCCGCGAGGCAUGUGGGCAGCCGGGUGCGUGCUUUGAGUCUUCCUGGUUGUGCGAUGUAUUUCUGACUGGCGAUGUGCUACGAGUGGUAGCAUGGCAACUAGAAUUGACUAGAGCAGGUAGCACUUUCGUUCCCCUUUCAGUGUGUGGAGCGUGAAGUGUGAAGGCUUGGGUCAUGCAUAGAUUGUUGUGUUACCUAGGACAGCUUGUUCUGAGCUGCAGCUAUUUAAGCCGUGCUACGAGGGGCACGUAGGUAGCUUGGGUGUAUGUGCGUUGCUCGGGACUUCAAUGCAGUGUCGAGUAGCGUAUGUGUGCCUUUGAGUUACUUCGCAGCAAGUGAAUUGUUAAUUCGUGAAUAGCUGUUCGGUAGCCAGUUGGUCACUCACCCGUCCCGUCUUGAAACACGGACCAAGGAGUUCAGCAUGCAGGCGAGUCUGAGGGUUGAGCAAAACCCGAAGGCGCAGUGAAAGCAAAGGCUGUCGUUCUGGACAGCUAAGAUGUGAUCCGGUACUAAGAUCUGAUCGAUGUACCGGCGCAACAUCGUCUCGUCGUGUCCCUGUGUGGGUGCGGCGAAGAUUGAGCCUGCACGCUGUGACCCGAAAGAUGGUGAACUAUGCCAGAGGAGGACGAAGCCAGAGGAAACUCUGGUGGAGGUCCGAAGCGAUUCUAACGUGCAAAUUGAUCGUCAGACUUUGGUAUAGCGGCGAAAGACUAAUCGAACCAUCUAGUAGCUGGUUCCCUCCGAAGUUUCUCUCAGGAUAGCUGGCACUCGCUUUGAUUUUCACCCGGUAAAGCGAAUGAUUAGAGUGAUUUGGGUUGAAAAGAUCUAAACCUAUUCUCAAACUGUAAAUGGAUGAGUUGUUCGACUCUCUUGACUGGAGUCGGACUGUGAAUCUGUGAAGUGCCAAGUGGGCCAUUUUUGGUAAGCAGAACUGGCGCUGUGGGAUGAACCAAACGUUCGGUUAAGGUGCCAAAAGGACGCUCAUUUGAAAACACAAAAGGU
rnacentral:rRNA from 1 species